CAGAUAGAGCUAGUUCCUAAUCUCUGGAACCUGUGUCUAUUUCAGUGAUCGCAGACACUGAAGAGAAGGCAGUGUGGCCACAAGGGCAGAGAAUACAGUGGUGUAGCUGCGGUCAAAGGAUGCCAGCAGCCAAGUUUAUGAUAGUCUGAUUCAGUAGCCAGAAGAAACUCAUUCAGAAACUAAUAAAAUUACCCGUUAUGUUUAGUGAUUGAAACAGAGUUCGGAAUAAGAUUUUUUCAUCAAUGGUCCUUUUAUAGUAUCUUUUUUGUUAAACAAGAUGAAUAUAUUUACGUUUAAAAUGUAAAUCGUAAAUCUUUCCUUUAAUUCAAAGAUUUCCUCUCUUCACAGCUUAGGCUGGGACCCUAGUCAUGCAGACCACUGUGAGGAAGGGGAGUAGACAGUAUUCUGGACUUCCACUUGCUCUGCUGUGCUGGCUGGCUCCUGAUGUGGAGAUUCAAGACAAAGAGCUUGGGUUUAGCACAGUCUGGCUAUUGGUACCUCUGUCCAGGCAGCCGGCCUAACUACAGGCUCUUCGUCUCACCACUUGUUUGCACGAGCUCUUUGGAGGCCUUCACCCUGCCACAUUCCAGGACCAAGCUGACAAAUGAUAAUGACAUAUGACAUGACAUGGGACUUCCCUGGUGGCUCAGAUGGUAAAGAAAAUACCUGCAAUGCGGGAGACCUGAGUUCAAUCCCCGGGUCGAAACAUCCCCUGGUGAAGGUAAUGGCUACCCACUUCAGUAUUCUUGCGUGGAGAAUCCCAUGAACAGAGGAGCCUAGGGGGCCACAGUCUAUGGGGUCACAAAGAGUCAGACAUGACUGAGCGACUAACACUUACACUUUCAUGACAAUUACAUAGAACAUAACAGAAUAAGAUAAAACAUUGAAUGUGAUAUAUGAUAUAUACAACCUAAUUAUUUAAACAUGAUUAUUCCAGAAGGUUCUCUUUUAGUCUGCUACAAAUUUGUAUAGUCACAUAACCAGGCCAUGUUAAACUAAUGUCAAGUGAUAUUAAGUGGGGCUUUUCUUAUUGUCUGGGGUGUCCCAUAAGCCCCCAGAGCUGAGACCAACAGGUGUCAAAUGUCUAGUCACUCUCUUGGCAGGUGAUUGAAUCACAGAGGUGGUUGGUUCAGUGCCCACCUCCUACCUCCACCUUAUUCAGGAGAAACCCAGAGAGACUCAUUAGAAAAAUUAGAGAUUUCUCAAAAUGAAAAGCAAUGAGAACAACCUGAUAUUUAUGAGGAAGAAAACAUAUUUUGUUUUCUUCUCUUCUCCUUCAAAGUUAGGUCAGGGAGGUCAAGGAGGCAACAAGAAACUCCUUUGGGGAAAUGGGAGCAUAGGACUAGGAAAGAAGGAAUGGGAUGAUUAGUGAGCAGUGGGGAGGCAGAGGAGGAUGCCACAUAACACUGAAGAAGCAUUAUACAUAGUGACCAGACCAUGAUGGUCUUGUAAAAUCUUGUCAGGGGGUUCACUAGGAGGUCAGUGGGAAGCAUCUGACUUGUUUUGAACCAGGAGGUGACAAGAUCUGAUUUUCAUUUGGAAAGAGUAUUC
ensembl:lncRNA